UACGUAGGGUGCGAGCGUUGUCCGGAAUUAUUGGGCGUAAAGAGCUCGUAGGCGGUCUGUCACGUCGGCUGUGAAAACCUGGGGCUCAACUCCGGGCCUGCAGCCGAUACGGGCAGACUAGAGUUCGGCAGGGGAGACUGGAAUUCCUGGUGGAGCGGUGAAAUGCGCAGAUAUCAGGAGGAACACCCGUAGCGAAGGCGGCACUCUGGGCCGAUACUGACACUGAGGAGCGAAAGCGUGGGGAGCGAACAGG
rnacentral:rRNA from 1 species